UGGUUUGAGACUUGUCUUAAUGCAUUAAAAAACCCUGGAGAUAAAGUUGGUUCACGAGCUACUUGUGUUGAGCAGGAAACCUUGGCUUGGACACAAAAACAACUGUUGAAACUUAUUCCCUCACAGAAUGAUUCGUUAGAAGAAAUGCUGCCUUAUUUAGGAAUCAUAAAAAUUCCUUGUUUGCGUAUCAAAAAUACAGAUGAACAUUUUUUAUACACUCUACCUCAAUAUAUCAUGACAGAUAAUAAUAAAAUUGCCAAGUUUGUGUCUGCUAAAGAGAAUAUGAAGGAUAUGUUUAUAGUUGAAAGGACAUAUACAUUAAACUAUCCAAUCACAUCAAAUAUAUUUAUACAUAUUAUAAACAGAGCCAGUAAUUACAGUCGUAUACUCAUUUUAAACCAAUCAACAGCUGU